rnacentral:rRNA from 1 species
UUUUGGGCAAUGGGCGAAAGCCUGACCCAGCAACGCCGCGUGAAGGAUGAAAUCCCUCGGGAUGUAAACUUCGCAAGAACGGGAAGACUAAGUUUGUGCUAAUACCACAAGCGAUGACGGUACUGUUUGUAAGCUCCGGCUAACUCCGUGCCAGCAGCCGCGGUAAUACGGGGGGGGCAAGCGUUGUUCGGAUUUACUGGGCGUAAAGGGCGCGUAGGCGGCCACUGCAAGUCGGUUGUGAAAUCUCCGGGCUUAACCCGGAAAGGUCAAUCGAUACUGCAGGGCUAGAGUGCAGAAGGGGCAACUGGAAUUCUCGGUGUAGCGGUGAAAUGCGUAGAUAUCGAGAGGAACACCUGCGGCGAAGGCGGGUUGCUGGGCUGACACUGACGCUGAAGCGCGAAAGCUAGGGGAGCGAAC